GCUCCUGAGGCGAGGCGGCGCGACGUGAGGCGAGGCAAGGCGAGCGGAGGAAGAGGUAUUUGUGCUCAGCUCGCCAUCCUUCUGGAACUACUGUUUAUCUGGUUUUAUAUGCGUCCUACACCUGAGCUGCCUGCUUUCCCUGCUGUAAAUGACCGCUGGGAUCCAGUCCCUUUGCCUGAAAGCAGAUUGAGCUUUACACCUUCUGCAGUGCCGAAGCCGAUGCGCUCCCAUCCAUCCCCUCACCCCGUGGUACCAGGUAGAGAAGACAAAGUCCUGAAGAAGUCCUCACAUUGGCAGAAAAAAAGAUCACUGGUGAGAAGACAAAUUCAAAUAAGGAAUAUUUGUGGUGAAGUCGGUGAAGUUACCUGUGUGUAAUUCUGGAUUAAUCCAUUGAAGGCAGCUAUGGACCACUUGGUGCACGCAUGCUCUGCGUUUCUCUCUCUCAUACCCAGAACCUUGCUGUGUUGGAGCACCUAUACUUCUCUGGAUGAAUAUGCUCUAGCUCUUCCACAGACUCCGUCUGCAAAGGCGAAGACCCAGUUGGACUUAUCCAAUGCAAGGUAAGGCUCCCAAUCUGAAAAGCUCUUUGAAUCAGGCCCUGUAAGAGCAGUGACAGAAGAGAAGGAUCGACUGUGCAUAUAAAAUGGUGGAAAGGAUGGUGCUGGGAACAGGAUGUAGGAGUUGCUUCGGUGGGGGAAAUACAGACAAACAGGCAAGAAAGGCACAAAAAGGUAGAAGAAAGGAAGAGAUUGUCUGGCAGACGAGCUGAGAUUGUUUUUUGCGGUGUUGCUGAAUGACUGUUAAGUUUUCUCUGGGUAUGUUUUAUGUGCAUUCAGCGCCACAUAUUUCAGAAACAGGUCCUGGUAUUUGAGGAACAAAAAAGGCUUUAAUGCAAGGCUUGUUCGCCAUUUCAGGAGCUUCCUACCUUGAAGCCACUCAGCAAAAAUAAUUGGUGUCUCUGCACUCCUUUACUAAAGAGAGCGAUGAAGGUAUUUGAUGUUGCCUCCUGAAAUAACGAAACAUGGUAUCAGAAACUCCUUAGCCUAACACCUUAUGGUACCCAUUAUACAGAUGGCUAAACACAUUUGCGUUCUGAGGAGGCAAAGCACGACUGCACAGAAUUUGUCUUACUGUCUUUGGGGGGUAGUCAAAACUAGCCAAAAACCAGCUUCAGCGUUACCUGAAGCGGGACCCGUUGUUUGCUCUAUACGUGCAUCUGCAAUCAAUUGUAGUUGGUUCAAUAUUUGUAGCAGAUUAGAGUUUCAUUUGUAUUCUGCACACCUCUGCUUUCCCUUCUCUGUGUAUAUAUAUAUCCAGAAAAGCUGCCUGCAUAUCCUUGGGUUUUUUUUCCCCAGGAUGACAGAUACUGUAACAAUGACAGUAGAUUAAUAUCUCCUUAAUCAGCCAAAUGAACAUGACACACAAGGGUGACAGUUCAAUUUGCUGCUAACAGAUUGUGCCUUUCAGAGCCCUUCCAUUCCAACUGAUGUUUAUUUCUGGCAGAGAUCAUACGGUUCUGGGAGGACCCCAGCUUCCCACCAGCUCAUAGACACCCAUUAAAUACAUCAAGUACCACAUAGGUGUUACUCACCCGCCUGUCAGGACACUAGCUGCUUGGGAAAUUAAAUGAGCCUUGACACACGCAAUGGAGAAACACUGUCACUUAGCUGGGCGAAGCGGCAGCAUGCAUUAUUGAGUACACACUGCUGCGGGUCCCUCUCUUUAUUGCUUGUUAUUUUUUGUUUGCUUGUGGACUGUUGGCUGUUGAAACAUGGAUCAGACACUGAGUCUGUCUCCUGGGGAGAUGCAUAAAGAAAUGUAAUGGGGAGGAAGUGCAGGAGGGGUGGUAGUUUAGGUAGAAGCGAUACAUUAAAUCUUAGUCCCAGAACUGGCUGUGCUUGGAGUUUGUUUGCAGGUGGGAUUUCGGGAGGAUCUAGUUUCUAAUUCUGAAAUUCAAUCUGCAGGGUCUAAUUCAAAUCUUUCUUUUCCUGCUUCCUGCGGUAUUUCAAACGAAGUAACCCCAGAUACCGUACAAAGGGACUGCAAGUCCUUCCAAGGGGUCGUCCCCACUCCUCCCCUAGGCUCAGCCGGGGUCCCUUCGCUCUUGUGCAGGCUUGAAACACAACACCUAAGCCUCGGUGGGUACCACCACCAAGAAAUGGAAAUAAAGCUUGGAAUUUGUCCGGCUGCGUUUCUGUGAACGCCGUAUCAGGGUCUGCAGCCCCAGCUCCGGCAGUCUGCCUGCACAGUGCCGACAGCUGACUCUUGCGCUGGGGGACCAAGAUAGCAGUUGGUGUAGCGAAGGCCUGACUUUGUUGCUGAUGUGUAAAUCUGUCUUCGGCACUUAAAGGUCUGAUCCUGCAGCCCUUGCUGCUCCCCACGGGACUGUAAUUGAACAGGAGAGUUUUCAUUUGCUGGAUGAGCCCCAGUUAUUUAUUUUCAUAGUGACUCACAUCAGCCAUCUGCCUGCUUUUGUUUAGACACCCUUACAGUGCCCUUCCCACAUAUAUGAAACUGCUUGAUUUUGCAGUCCCACCCAAAUAUAUAAAUCACACUUGUAGACCUCUGCAAACCCCAUCCACAGACAGGGAUUGCUCCAAAACCUACUAGCAGACUCAUUUCAUCACUCUUUGGUUUUCUUACAGAACUUUGUUGCAUAACUCCCAGCAGUUUGCUUCACAGAAGACAAGAGACAUGUUUAUUUUUGAAAGAUAAAAUGCAAGUAGUUUCAGUGGAAAGGUUUCCAAGACAAAAUUAACAAUAUAUUACUGAAACAAUGGCAUUAAAAGAUAUCCAUAUGAUUGUAAUUAUGAAGCUAAAUCCUUCCAAAGGAGGGUUCUGUCAUUCCCUAUACUUGUUACAAUUGCUGUCAUACAAAUGUGUUCGUUAUUUUUAUCAUUUUUUUUCUUAUUAUUACAGGUUUUGUCAUAAGAAUAACUCAUCAAGGUUUUAUGACUAAUAAAUUUUCUAAAUUACA